rnacentral:tRNA from 1 species
CGUUCUAUGGCCGAACUGGUGAAGGCAUCGCCGAUCACAGGCAAAGAUGCGGGUUCAAGUCCCGCUGGAAUAG